CAUCGCUCCGCGGCGAUGGCGGCCGUGGCGGCGCGGCGGCGGACGGGCGGCGGGGAGCGGCGGCGGCAGGGCAGCGCACGGAGGAACGCGAGUCCGCGGGAUGCGCGCGGCGGGCGGCUGUGGGCCGCGUGCUUCGUCUCCGCCGCUCUCGUCGCGGCCGCCGGCGCCUUCCUGGCGUGGAGCUCCUGGAGCACUGAGGACGGCGUCGCCGAGGUGUUGGCCGGGCGAGGGGAGACGCUGCUCGACAAGUUCGUGGAGGUGCCGUGCUCCGGGGACUACGACGGCUACCAGAGGUUUGAAGGGUGCACUCCCAGGAGGUGUGGAAGAGGUGUGAGUGAUGCUGUGAUCACCAGGGAGGAAGCAGAAAGAAUCCGUAGAAUAGCAGAGAGGGGACUGUCCUUGGGAGGAUCAGAUGGAGGGGCAUCAAUUUUGGACUUGCACUCUGGAGCUCUUUCACUAGGGAAGCAAUUUGUUAAUCUGUACAGGUUCUUUGGGGACAAAAUUCAAGACAUCUUCACAGAAGAGGAUUUUGCAUUAUAUCGUGAUGUGAGACAGAGAAUUCAACAGAAGAUUGCUGAGACCUUUGGUAUCAGCUCUUCUUCCAUGUACCUGACUAAGCCAACAUUCUUCUCUAGAAUAAACAGUACAGAAGCCAAGACAACACAUGAUGAAUACUGGCACCCACACGUUGACAAGGUGACUUAUGGCUCCUUUGAUUAUACUUCACUGCUCUACCUCUCCGACUAUGCUGAAGAUUUUGGUGGUGGACGGUUUGUGUUUAUGGAUGCAGGAUCCAACAAGACAAUAGAGCCCCAAGCAGGGCAUUUCUUGAUAUGAGCAGAAGUUACCUUUGUAUUUAUGGUUCAGUGAUAUGCUAAAUCUAAGUACGAAGUGCACCUCCACCAGGAGUCUAGAAUCUGGAACUUUGGCAUCUGUGUGAUUUGACCCCAGCUGUGCUUAACAUGGUGUAUUUAGCAAAGGCAAGAAAAGGAAAACAGGCGAUCCAGAGGUACAGGAAUCGUUUAGAGAAGCUCGUGCCUUCUCUUCUCCCAUAAACCUUGGCAGAACAUCCAGGCUCAAGUCUCACCUGAAGAACAACCAAUAUAAACUUGAUUUAUGUCUGGGGUGAAAUCCACAUCAGCAGUAUAAUUGUGUGCAGGUAGGUAGGAUGCACACCCAUCAGCUGUUCUUUCUUUCUGAUAGUGAAGGCAUUGCCUUCAAAAGGGCUUCCGCCUUUAAUGCAUGAGAGACAGCGCUGCCAAAUGCCAGUAAUUCUUAUUGUGCCAUUACAGAAAAUGUAAGGUUUUUUUGCCUAGCAAUACGGUGUUUGGGGAGGGGGAAGACUUCAAACCAAAAUGAAUUAGCAAUUAAUCCCAAGGACAUGACUGUGCAGUUUCCCAGGCAGUGCUUCUGACUUAGUGUCAUUCAGCAGACAAAACGCUGUUUUUUUUUGUCCGUGAGUAACAUUUAGAGCUGGUAAAUGCUAAGCAGACAGUCAGAGCUGUCAUACGUGGGAUGAAAGACACUGAGUAGAUCCAUAGUGCCAGAUAAACUCUAACUGCUUCCCUUUAAUCUGGCAGAGGAGUUGCUUUGUUUCCUUUCCAGCAGCAGCUCAGUCCCUCCAGUGACUGCCAGCUGCUCAGGAUGGUGCCUGAAGGUGAAAUCUCUUGCAUCCCUCCCCAUCCCCCACCCGGUCCCAUCCUUCCCUGGUGUCCAGCCCUGGUUGGUGCUGGUGAAAGGAGGAUGGUGAGGGGUCAGUUAAGCUCUCCUUUACCCGCUUUCAUGGUUGAGUGUUGCUCUAGACAAUCGUAACAUGUGAUUUGCAGUUUUUGCUUGAUGUUUGUGUGAGCCAAGGAGUUUACAGGGAAGUUUAGCAAUGAGUUAAACUAGAAGGGCCAAAAGGAUGCUGCCAAGAAAGCAAAAGCUGUGGAGUCAUGUGAAAGGUGGGAGCAUGAAGGGGUUGGAACCCAGCAGCAACAUGAGCUUGUUGCAAAAAGGGAGCUGCAGAAAUUGAUGGCUGACGUUGAUAUUAAUGAAUGGCCUAUUCCAUGUAAAAUCACAGUAACUGAAGUCAGAGGGAUUUCUGGAGAUCUUCUAGUCACGGCUUCCUGGUAGAGAAAUGAUCACCGGAGAUGCAAAUCAUGUGUAUCUGAAAUACAUGCUUGGGAAGUUUCCUAUCUAAAUGUGUCCUGAUCUACUAAUGUUUACUUUUAAUGCUGUACUUGUGUGCUAAUGAUAGGACCCUGAGCAACCUGAUGUGACUUGGAUGUAAUUUAGAAGUUAUCCAUCUCCUUUCCAAAAUGAUGGCUAAGAUGUCCUCCCAAGGUUCUUCCAACUGAAAUUCAGUAGUGAACCUAUAAUUCUACAUGCAGUAAAUCUAUGAUGAGAAGUGUAAUAAUCUUGUAGUAUGUGAGGUUUUUUUCUUCUGUGCAUUGUGAUAUCAUAACACUUCUGUAGUUGUUAAGUCCUUUUAUUUAUUCUCUACAUUAUAAGUUUUACAUACCUUUCUAUUUAUUCUCUUGCCAGAAUAGAUACAGGCAACAGAACAUACUCUUUAUCAUACCUGUUAAGCAGCAAUGUGUUAACUGCAAAGUACUGUACUGGUGUUUACUAAUUAAUUUGUACAAUAACCCAGUUAGAAUACGUCAUCUUCAUUUUAGAAACGUGCAAACAAAUGAGAAAUUAAAUGGUUUUGGUCAAAGUUGCCCUGCAUGUCAGGGGCAUAGUUGUUAAUGAAAUAUUUUUUUGUAUGUGUGUAUUCUUCCAGUCUAUAUUGCUCCCAGGACUGAGCCUAGGUAGAGAACUGUAGGCAGUCUGCUUACAAAAAUGUAACUGAAUGUUGAGAUUCAGCAGGGAUAACAUCUCCAGAGAGCAAACCUCAUGGGAAUACUGUGAGAUGUUGCUGAAUGGCAAACUAAAUGGGCCGUCCCUGCUGCACUGUGAAAUAUGCCUUGAUUUUGCUUCUGCUUAAGUAUUUUUUGUGAAUAGUGUUACUUGAUCAAAAUUGGGGUCAUAGGCAACUCAUAGCAGCGGAUCUUGUGGCUGGUGCUUAUGUCUUUAUAACUAAUGAUUCCUGUGGAUCAGUGCAAAAAUUGCUUCUCAAAAAACAAAACAAAACAACAAAACAAAAACCCAAAAACUCCGGAAAGCAAGAAUCUGCCUCUAAUGUACUUACAGCCUUCCUCCCUUUCCAUUUUCUCCACAUCAUAAGCUUUUCUCAGCCUGACGGCAUUUGAGAGCUUGACUUGUGUCAGUGACAAGGAAGACCAGGGCUCAGUUUUGAUGGAUGUUGUCAUGCUGAGCUUGUUAGCAAUUCCUUGGCUUGGACUGGUGUGAGAAGCUGACAUAUUUAAAUGAGUUUGUGUGAGUUUUUUUAAACUCCAGUACAACUCUCCUUUUGGUUACUUUUGUAAAAGCUUCUAUGUGAGGAUAACAUCAAAAAGGAACCAAAAAAGCAGCUGUGGAUGAAACCAGUGCAGAAGCAGAGCUGGAGAAGUGUCUGUGAGUAAGCAAGGGAAGUGGCUGCACCACAAUAACACCUUAUCCAGUCUGCAGGGAAUGGAAGCUCAUCAGCUAAUCUUCUGUUGUAACAAACUCCAUCAUGAGAACAUUUCUAGGAAAAAUGGAGGGGAUGAGAGAACAGUUGUAGAUACAAGCAUUCUUAGAUCAAAGGCAAGGACCGAUUGAUUCCUUCUGUUCCUGUAGAGAAUGCAGGCUGUGGGCAAGCUAGUUAUUUAGAAACAGUCUCCUGUAGGUAUUCAGGUUACCAUAAAUCUUUUUUUCUUUGGAUUUUAUUUUUGCUAGUAUACAAAGAAAGAUGAAAACAAGUGCAUUUGUGGAGAGCAUCGUUGAGCAACGAAGAAACUCACUCCCAUGUUGCAGUGAGGAAGUUCUGCUCUUCCAUGGACCAGCUCACUCUGUAACUGUUGUGCAGUGUUAUGGAAUCUUGAAGCCAUUUGAGAGCAGCUGUAGAGUUGUGUUUGUGUCCAGAAAAGAAAGCAAGGCCACCAAUGGAAAGGUCUUCAAAAUUGUCAGUAUUUUUACCUAAUACAGGAACUGGAUGCCCAAGUGUUAAAAGCAUUAAAUUGUCAGAUGUGCUGCCCUAAUUGCUGUGGUAUGUCUUGUCUGAUUCAGUUCCUCUGGAAUGGCAAGUGGAGGUGAGAAAGAGAUGGAGAGUAGAUGUGGGAGGGCAGCCCACAGUGCUUCCUUUGCUCUUGUGGAUCUGAACUCUUCCCUGAGGCUGAGGUACUGGUUAAAGUGUGAAACCAAACAGGCAAUGGAGUUUUUGGCAUCUUGCAGUGAUUGGGGGAAAAUGUGAGUCAAAUGUUUAUGUUCAGGAUAAAAUACUUUUCAGACUUGAUUUAUCUCAGAGGCAAAAACAAACAAACAAAAAAAAGACAACACAAAUUUGUUAACCUCUUGGCGUUGCUUCUAAUCCAGAGACACUUCCAGUCUUCAUCUUUCAGGACCUGGCUCAGAGAUUGGUGUCUCUGAAAGCUUAGAAGCACUGACCUCAAGAGAAGAGGUAAUCUCUCUCCUGUAUUUUUUUUUUCCACGCCCCAGAAGCUCAUCACUUAAGAGCCAGGGAUAACUUCAUUUCUUUUUGUUGGUUACAAAACGCCACGCUAUAAAGCUGUGUUGAGUAGUAGCUUGUGAUCUCAGAAAAGCUUACAGUUUAACAGCAAGCAUUCAUAAAUCAAACCAAGCUUUAUGUGUCGGGAAGUAGUAGUCAAGAUUCUAUUAUGGGAGCAGAAAAGCAUGUUGGAAAGAAACCUUCUUGGGCAAGUGGGAGGAGGAGAGAUGGAAAUAAAAUCUGAAAUCUUUCUUAGCUCAAAUAAAGAAAGAAAAAAGGAAGAAGGAUUUGAGUUCUGUGUAGUUUGUGCUGAGUUUUUGUCACUUGUUUCAUCAGGAAAUGGAGUGUACGUGCACUUUUUUGGUUUGCAAUGCAUAGUUGCAUAGCCAUUCUUUAACAUCUGUAACACAGUGGUCAUUUCUUAUAAAGCUCAGCAUUCACUCUGCUGCUUUUUGAUGGUGCGAAGAGCUUAGUGGAACUGCCUUGGGGAUGUCUUCCUCUGCCAAUGACAGAAAUCCUAGCACUGCUGCGUGACUGAUCACCAUGUAAUACUUUUUCAUAUAAAAUUUGGGAUUUAAAAUCCUGAACUCAGAAUUGAUCAAAAAUUACUAGAACAAGGACAACCUCUGUCUAGGGCACUUUUUAAGGCAACUUAGUUCUCACCCACUUGCUUUCCUGUAGUGAUUUAUGUGUUCUUCAGAUGCUGUGUAUUGAAGCAAGAUCAUGAAGUCUCAGUGUGCUUGAAAGGCCCAUCACUAAAGGUGCACCAUUAAGGAAGAGGAUGAUUUUAUCUUGUGUCUCUCCCCAGGUGUCCUGGAUAAUGAUGUUACUGUAUAUCCCUUAAAAGUGUUAUUAGAUGUGAUGAGAAUUAAUGUUCUUUUGUCCCCCCCCCUUCGAACAGUUGUACUAUGAAGAAUGGGGUGAGUUGUACUGUGGAGAAAGUGGAGAUGCUGUGCAUUCAUACUGAAAUUUCGUAAUGGAAAUGGUUUUAAAAUCAAUUCUUUCCAACUGAGGAAAAAGUAUCUUCAGAAACAGCCAAUGAACACAUUUGGUGACAUGGAAGACCCUAACAGGCAGAGAUGAGACCAGGUGCACAAGGAACUAUAAAGUACUGUAUAUCUGAAGACAUAUAUUUAUUAAAGAAGAAAAUUAAAACACGUUCUUUGUAGCUAAAGAAUCCAUUUAAACUGGUUUAAACAAUACACUGAAACUUGUCUAAUUCUGAAUUACUACUGUUUCUAAUAAGAGAUCAAUGAAAAAAGCUUGAGAGUCUGUGUAAGGCAAAGCUUUGGGUGAGCAGGUGAGGGACUAAUCUUGAUGUAGUUGAAUGGUAUUAAAAUAAGAUUUAAGAAAGCAAAAAAAAAACACCCCCUGUUUUCAAGUUAAAUGGACUUUGUAUUAAAACCUCAAGAGUCAUUCUGUGCGUUGUAACACUUGCAGGAUAGGAGAGCGUUGCUUUUGUUUACAGUCUUCCUUCUGUAAGAGCAGGACACCAAGGUGUGUAUGAGCUAUGUGUACAAAUGGAUUUAUUUUUUACAUUUAUUUAUAGCUUUACACAUUAUUGAUCUACAGCCAGAGGCAGAGAAGAGUAUGAUAUAUGAGUUCAUAGCUCUGCUUGGCAGCUGAGACUGCUUCCUAUGAGAGAAUAAAUACACACUGCAGCUGCAUGUGCAGGGACACAGGCAGCUCAAGCUCCAUGAGGCCAGUCUGGUUUUGUUCAAACUUCCCAUGUGUGCUGCUGAAGAGCAGGCGAGCAAAGUAACUUCUGCAUCUUUAGUUAGCAAAGAACAUCAGCUAUGUAGCUGAUGUCCAUUUUCUGCAGUGUACCAGAGUUGGAAUAGCUUGUCUUGUAAUUGUGCAGACUUUAAUUAGCCUUGGAAGUUUUUUGGUUGGCCUAGUGGUGAAUGAUCCCAGGCAGAGUCAGACUGUCAGUGUGAGUUCUAGGUAAGCUUUAACAAAGUUUAGUCUAAUCUGAACAGUGGAAAAAAUAGAUGAGAAGGAAAAACAUAUGCUAUUGGGGUAAAACAGUGAUGCGUGUUGGUAUUACUGUCCUUUAUGGAAAUUUGAGCACUCCUAGAGCUGCUUCAGUUCUGUUAUGUGUGCAACAUCAAACUGUUAUGUUCUCAAAAUACUUAAAUAGCAUGGAAGUGCAGAGUGACCAUUCUGAUGUGGUGUUCAGUGGGGUGCUUGCUGGAGUUAUCAAAGCCACUGGGUUCCACCCUGAAGCAACCUAAGGCCUGGAGAGCCCCAUGGCAGGGCAGUGUGAUGGUCAGAGCUUAGACAGGAUGAAGCACAGGGGUAAGCAUUUGCACCUAUAGAACAACUUCCAAAUGUAUGUAUAGCUGCAGUGACUCCUGCUAAGGAAAAUUAAUUUGUAUAUGAGAGUAAUACAUAACUUUCUGUCCUGGCUCAAGAGUGAGUGAGCUGGCUGUGUACAAAAAGCUAUAGCAAAUACUUGGCACAGUGCUAAUAAGCUGCCACAGCUACUUGUGAACCUGCUGAGCAUUUGUUCACCGAAGACUUUUUACCACCUCCGUAGCACUUCCUCCUUCUUUGGUCUAAAAUUAGAGCCCAGAUUAGAAGGGAAGCAGGGAGAAACCCAGGCGCUUCACUGAUUGUCACCAGAGAUGCUUUUUUUCUUUUUUUCUUCUUAACUGAGGCAACUAAAACCUGGAUUCGUAUGUUCUUGGCUUCCUCCUGCCUUCUAUAAACUAUGAGAUGUGGUGGAAUUACGUCUCCAGCUUUGCAGCACGAAGGAUUAACAUAAAGUUAAACAGUCCAUAAAGCUGUCAGAGUGCAGCACAAGCUCACAGCAGUUUGUGUGAUGAGCGAAGGGCUCUCAGGUAGCUAGGAGCAGCUGGACUGAGACAACAACAGCAGAACUGUGUAGAGCUGAUUGCUGAGUGGCAAACUCUAUGUCGCUGAUUAAAUACUUUG